rnacentral:siRNA from 1 species
CUGGUUUAGUCACUUUCACUGC